GGGCCUACGGGAGGCAGCAGUGGGGGAUAUUGCACAAUGGGGGAAACCCUGAUGCAGCGACGCCGCGUGAGGGAAGACGGUUUUCGGAUUGUAAACCUCUGUCUUUGGGGACGAAUUGAGACGGUACCUGAGUAAGAAGCCCCGGCUAACUACGUGCCAGCAGCCGCGGUAAUACGUAGGGGGCAAGCGUUAUCCGGAUUUACUGGGUGUAAAGGGAGCGUAGACGGCCAGACAAGUCUGAAGUGAAAAUCCAGCGCUUAACGUUAGAAGUGCUUUGGAAACUGCCGUGCU
rnacentral:rRNA from 1 species